CUCUUCUUCACUCUCUUUUAUUUCUGAAAAGGGAAAAAAAUGGCGAUUCAAUUGAAUCGAUAGAAUAGUUGGUAGUAUUUGAUGAUCUUGGUUUGAUUAUAGUGUUUUUGGAAAAUAUGUGCAAAUCAUCUGGAUUCUAUUUCAGAUCUGAUGUUUCUCUACAAAAAGCUCGGUCUUGGGAUGAAGGUGUUUCAUCUAAGUUCUCUACAAUUCCUAUUAAAGACAUCUUCAAGGGUGCGUUUACGUGUGUUUGUUCAGCACCACAUGUACCUAGUUACAAGAAAAACAUAUUGAUAAGCUUAAAGCAAAAGGAAUUGAGUCUGUGAUUUGUGUUGUUGUCAAUGAUCCAUAUGUUAUGAAUGGAUGGGCAGACAAGCUUGAUGCCAAAGAUGUUGUAAGUCCUUAUUUUUCAUAUGCAAUCAUUUUUCUUGCAAUGUUCAAUAACUAAAUGUCGUGGCUCUAAACUCUUUUAGAGUGAUGCCCAAUUGGUGAAGAAUAUUACCUAACCCUUCUGAUCUAAGGCAUCAGUUAGACUAUGGGUGACUUGAGUGUUGUGUGCGUCAAUAUUUUAACAACUUUUUCUACCUGCCAAAUCUGUGUUGAAAAUCUGAAGAUCUGACACCAUAAAUAAUAUGCUUGGGGAAACAAUUUGGAGAUGUAUGACCAUUGUUUUUGCUCGCUAAGAGCUCCUAGACUUUAGUGCAUUAGGUAGUGAACCAUGACUACUAAAACUCAAACUGCGAUGUUAAUUGUCUUGUUUAGUUUACAACUAAAUUCUAUCUAGUGGGUGAUCUUUAACUAAUUGACUACACUCUUUUUUAAGACAUUUCUAGAACUAACAAAUAAUAACAAGCUCACUGACCAAGCAUGUAUAUCAUUUCCGGAACUAACUUAGUCAACACAUUACAAGACAUGUAUAGACACUCUUGGUUUUGUCAAACAAUUCAAGACUUAUCGGGGCAUAAGAUAGGAUAGACCAAUGAUUUACUAGACUACUACCAAUAGUCAUGUGUUAGUAAGUCGAGUCCUGUAGAACAAGAACUAGUUAACAUGAUAGCUAAACCAAUGCACCAAUAACUUUUGAUGUUAGCAGGUACUGCUGUCAUUGUUAUACAACAUACAUGACAACAUAUGCUUUAACUGUGUUUCCAUUUCCUGGUCAAUCAUCUCAACCAUAUGGUGUUGGAGAAACAACAGCUGCAUCUUUUAAAGCUAAGAAAUCUCAACCAUCUGAUAUUCCAAAAGCUGCAAUCCAUCUGCCACUAAAGCUUGUAGAAAUUCAAAGAAGCAUAACAUGAGUCAGACAUUCUCAGGGGUUGGAUCUGUUCAACAAAUAUUAAACCAGAAAAUGACUCGGGCAAAGAAAUGAAUGGUUGCAGUUUGGUUAUGUAGUUUGCAGUAGUUAUUUAUGUUUUUUUUUUAUGCUAUUUUGGUUGAUGAAAAUUCUUGGUAUUGAGGUUUCAUCUUUAUCUGUACAUUUGAAUGUUACUUUUGGAACAUCUUUAUCAAUGAAAUUAGUACUUUUUAA